CAGAAAUACAUUUUUUUUUCUCAAAACCAUAAAAUUUACAUAAAAUUCAUUUUAAUUUUUUAAUUGACGUAAAAUGUAAAGUGCAUGGCUCGGUCUGUAUCCUGGCAUUGGCUGUUGUCUCUGUUGUUUUUUUUAGCCCACUUUCUACAUUAUGAUAUUCUCUGAGUCCGUCAUACAGGUACCACAGUCCUUGAAUUUUAAUACUGCAAUUGAAAUGGCCACCAUUGCCAUAUGUAAUGGCAAAGAGUGAGUAGCUCCAAAUUAUAAACAUCCACUGUUUCCAACUAUGAUAAUUGACAUUCCAUUGAAAAAAAAGG
rnacentral:lncRNA from 1 species